rnacentral:lncRNA from 1 species
CAAGCAUGGAAUGGAAGCGACUAAAGCCUCUCUCUAACACGUGAUUGAUCCCGUUAACAUCAUGCUAGGGACUGGGAGUCUGGAAUGGAACCAGCGGGAUCACGCUGCUUCUCAAACACUGCAGCCUGAAUUCUUGCACCAAGCCGUGCCCCACACAUACAGCACUAACUUAAGAGACACUUUUUAAGCAUCAGCAUUGCCACAAACAGUUGGGUUGCACUGAACUGCAGGCAGUGAUGUUUCAUACCCAGGAGCUCCCAGCAGCCCUCUGCGAGCACAAGGCUGGGCUUGAGUGUGAGCACACACGUACUCUCAGAAGCCGGGAGCAGUAACAUGAGGACUCCAACCCAGAUUUCAG